rnacentral:tRNA from 1 species
CAGGGAGACAACACAAUGAUUUUGAUGCCUGAGUGCUUUUAUUCUUAGGCCGAAAUCCUGUCACCUUAGGUCGAUCGGUACCUCAGAUUUGAAAUCAAGAAUUAGCAGCAAUGCUGAUUGCUUGAUGGAGAUUUUCAGUUCCUAAACUUUGUCUAGGUCACACCCCAAAAGGGAUGAGACUCCUGGGCCAUUAGCUCAGGUGGUUAGAGCGCACCCCUGAUAAGGGUGAGGUCCCUGGUUCAAGUCCAGGAUGGCCCAUUCGGUGUUGGGGGUUUAGCUCAGUUGGUAGAGCGCCUGCUUUGCAAGCAGGAUGUCAGGAGUUCGAGUCUCCUAACCUCCACUGACCGAACUUGAUUCCCAUCUCCAGAUUUUUGGAGUUGAGCUCGAUUGGAGUGUGAUUUAGAUGUGUCCGCUGGAUGACCCCAGCUUCCUGUCAUUCCAAGUUUUAGGUUAAAGCCUUGAAUUUGGUUGAUAAGAUGCUGGGCUCGGAUCAAAUGAUCAAGCAAUUGAUGAUUUGAUUUGAAGUUCUAGCAGAACCUUGACAACUGCAUAGGUGAGUCUGGAAAAAACAAAGCAUCUUACAGAUGCAUUGUUUUGAAUCUGAUCUUUCGAAAGGGAGAUUGGAUCUAGAACAAUGAAAAUUCUUUUGAGCAAGAGCCGAGACUCUUGGAUGUUCUUUGAUUCGUGUCGAGCGAAUCAGAGUUUGAUCUUGUUUUUAGCAAUAAAAACUUGAGAAUCUGCUUUCAACGGCAGUAAGCGUUCAGGAGGUUAAUU